rnacentral:rRNA from 1 species
UACGUAGGGGGCUAGCGUUGUCCGGAAUCAUUGGGCGUAAAGCGCGUGUAGGCGGUCCGGUAAGUCCGCUGUGAAAGUCGGGGGCUCAACCCUCGAAAGCCGGUGGAAACUGUCGGGCUAGAGUACGGAAGAGGCGAGUGGAAUUCCUGGUGUAGCGGUGAAAUGCGCAGAUAUCAGGAGGAACACCAAUUGCGAAGGCAGCUCGCUGGGACGUUACUGACGCUGAGACGCGAAAGCUAGGGGAGCAAAUGGG